rnacentral:rRNA from 1 species
GAUGAACGCUAGCGACAGGCCUAACACAUGCAAGUCGAGGGGUAGCAGGAUGUAGCAAUACAUCGCUGACGACCGGCGCACGGGUGAGUAACGCGUAUGCAACCUACCUUCUACAGGGGGAUAGCCCGGAGAAAUCCGGAUUAAUACCCCAUAAAACAGGGACUCCGCAUGGAGAUAUUUGUUAGAGAUUAAUCGGUAGAAGAUGGGCAUGCGUUCCAUUAGCCAGUUGGUGAGGUAACGGCUCACCAAAGCAACGAUGGAUAGGGGAACUGAGAGGUUUAUCCCCCCCACUGGAACUGAGCCACGGACCAGACUCCUACGGGAGGCAGCAGUGAGGAAUAUUGGUCAAUGGGCGCGAGCCUGAACCAGCCAAGUCGCGUGAAGGAAGACUGCCUUAUGGGUUGUAAACUUCUUUUAUAUGAGAAUAAAAAGAGUUACGUGUAACUUAUUGCAGGUAUCAUAUGAAUAAGCAUCGGCUAACUCCGUGCCAGCCGCCGCUGUAA